UCUACUUGGAUAACUGUGGCAAUUCUAGAGCUAAUACAUGCACGAAAGCUCGGACCCUCGCGGAAAGAGCGCAUUUAUUAGACCAAAACCAAUCGGGCGCUUCGGCGCUUGGUUYUUGGUGACUCUGAAUAACUUAGUUGAUCGCACAGUCUUAGUACUGGCGACGUAUCUUUCAAAUGUCUGCCUUAUCAACUUUCGAUGGUAGGUUAUACGCCUACCAUGGUGAUAACGGGUAACGGAGAAUUAGGGUUCGACUCCGGAGAGGGAGCCUGAGAAACGGCUACCACAUCCAAGGAAGGCAGCAGGCGCGCAAAUUACCCAAUCUCAGAACGAGGAGGUAGUGACGAAAAAUAACAAAACAGUCCACUUUGUGGCCUGUUAUCGGAAUGGGUACAAUUUAAAUCUUUUAACGAGGAUCUAUUAGAGGGCAAGUCUGGUGCCAGCAGCCGCGGUAAUUCCAGCUCUAAUAGCGUAUAUUAAAGUUGUUGUGGUUAAAACGCCCGUAGUUGGUUUUUCGGUCUCGAAGCUCGGUAGCUCGUAUGGGCUUAACUGAGUCUUCCGGCCUAAAUUUCUUGUACUCUCCCGAUGCUCUUUAUUGAGUGUCUCGAGAUGCUAGAACGUUUACUUUGAAAAAAUUAGAGUGCUAAAAGCAGGCUAUACGCUUGAAUAAAGUGCAUGGAAUAAUGGAAUAGGACUUUAGUUUUAUUUUGUUGGUUUUCGAAAUUAAAGUAAUGAUUAAGAGGAACAGACGGGGGCAUUCGUA
rnacentral:rRNA from 1 species